UACGAAGGGGGCUAGCGUUGUUCGGAAUCACUGGGCGUAAAGGGCGCGUAGGCGGCGCGACAAGUCAGGCGUGAAAGCCCCGGGCUCAACCCGGGAAUUGCGCUUGAUACUGUCGUGCUUGAGGCCGGGAGAGGAUGGCGGAAUUCCCAGUGUAGAGGUGAAAUUCGUAGAUAUUGGGAAGAACACCGGUGGCGAAGGCGGCCAUCUGGACCGGUUCUGACGCUGAGGCGCGAAAGCGUGGGGGAGCAAACAGGG
rnacentral:rRNA from 1 species